rnacentral:rRNA from 1 species
GACGAACGCUGGCGGCGUGCUUAACACAUGCAAGUCGAACGGCAAGGCCCCCUUGUGUUGUACUCGAGUGGCGAACGUGUGAGUAACACGUGAGUAACCUACCCUUUACUUUUGUAUAACUUCAUGAAACUGGGGCUAAUACCGUAUAGGAGCUCCUGCUGCAUGGUGGGGGUUGGAAAGUUUCGGCGGUUGGGGCUGGACUCGCGGCUUAUCAGCUUGUUGGUGGGGUAGUGGCUCACCAAGGCUUUGACGGGUAGCCGGCCUGAGAGGGUGACCGGCCACAUUGGGACUGAGAGACGGACCAGACGCCUACGGGAGGCAGCAGGGGGGAAUAUUGCACAAUGGGCGGAAGUCUGAUGCAGAAACGCCGCGUGCGGGAUGACGGCCUUCGGGUUGUAAACAGCUGUCGCCUGUGACGAAGCGUGAGUGACGGUAAUGGGUAAAGAAGCACCGGCUAACUACGUG